rnacentral:rRNA from 1 species
UUCGGCCAUAGUGGCGCACGGGUGAGUAACGCGUGGGAACCUGCCCAGCAGUGGGGGAUAACUUCGGGAAACCGGGGCUAAUACCGCAUACGCCCUUAGGGGGAAAGAUUUAUCGCUGUUGGAGGGGCCCGCGUCCGAUUAGUUUGUUGGUGGGGUAGUGGCCUACCAAGACUACGAUCGGUAGCUGGUCUGAGAGGAUGAUCAGCCACACUGGGACUGAGACACGGCCCAGACUCCUACGGGAGGCAGCAGUGGGGAAUAUUGGACAAUGGGCGCAAGCCUGAUCCAGCAAUGCCGCGUGAGUGAUGAAGGCCUUAGGGUUGUAAAGCUCUUUCGGCGGGGACGAUGAUGACGGUACCCGCAGAAGAAGCCCCGGCUAACUUCGUGCCAGCAGCCGCGGUAAUACGAAGGGGGCUAGCGUUGUUCGGAAUUACUGGGCGUAAAGAGCACGUAGGCGGUUCGUUAAA